UACGUAGGGACCAAGCGUUGUUCGGAUUUACUGGGCGUAAAGGGCGCGUAGGCGGCAAUUCAAGUCAUCUGUGAAAUCUCCGGGCUUAACUCGGAACGGUCAGAUGAUACUGCUUUGCUAGAGUGCAGAAGGGGCAAUCGGAAUUCUUGGUGUAGCGGUGAAAUGCGUAGAUAUCUGGAGGAACACCGGUGGCGAAGGCGGCAUCCUGGACCGGCAUUGACGCUGAGGCGCGAAAGCCAGGGGAGCAAACGGG
rnacentral:rRNA from 1 species